CGAACGCUGGCGGCGCGCCUAAUACAUGCAAGUCGAGCGAGAAGACGUAGCGAUACGUUUGUAAAGCGGCGAACGGGUGAGGAAUGCAUGGGUAACCUACCCCCGAGUGGGGAAUAACUAGCCGAAAGGUUAGCUAAUACCGCAUACGAUUCCCGGACUUCGGUUCGGGAGGGAAAGCGAUACCGUGGGUAUCGCGCUCUUGGAUGGGCUCAUGUCCUAUCAGCUUGUUGGUGAGGUAAUGGCUCACCAAGGCUUCGACGGGUAGCUGGUCUGAGAGGACGAUCAGCCACACUGGCACUGCGACACGGGCCAGACUCCUACGGGAGGCAGCAGUAAGGAAUAUUGCGCAAUGGACGAAAGUCUGACGCAGCGACGCCGCGUGGGGGAUGAAGGUCUUCGGAUUGUAAACCCCUUUCGGCAGGGAAGAUGGAACGGGUAACCGUUCGGACGGUACCUGCAGAAGCAGCCACGGCUAACUUCGCGCCAGCAG
rnacentral:rRNA from 1 species